rnacentral:rRNA from 1 species
UCCGGUGGCAAUGGCGGAGGGGACCCACCCGUUCCCAUCCCGAACACGGCAGUUAAGCCCUCCAGCGCCGAUGGUACUUGGGACGCAAGUCCCUGGGAGAGUAGGACGCUGCCGGAA